UCUUCUCUAUCAAAAAAGAAAGAAACUCAGUUCUCUUUCAUCCUCUCACAGCUGCACCUCAAAUCCUUCUCCAACUCAUUUCUCUUAGGGUUUGAUAAUCAUGUCUAAUAAAAUACCAUAAUUUAAUUUUCUGUGCUACUAGAAAUAGAAGUGAAGGUGGUUAAUCAGGAAGUAGGAGAAGACAUGGGGUUGAAUCUGAACAAUCUUAGACUAGUGAAUCUCACAGUAUUGUUUUGUUGACUAGAGAUUCGCAAUAUCUUGUUUGAAGAAAUAUGAUACAGGAUUCGAAAGGGUCUUUGUCGAUUUUCAGAAAUGGAGAUUGAAGAAUAAUUAAUGCUGCAGAUGAUGAGAUUAUGGAGGUUGAUGACUUUGAAUCCCCUGAUUAAAGAUUAAAGAUUAAAUCUCUUACUUCUGAUGUGGAAGAAUUUUUCACGCAGUACAAUCCUGGAUUCAUCCGGUGUAUGGUUCAGAUCCAAACCAGUGGCAUGCUGCAAUAUGUACAGAUACAAUGGAGCUUAUGAAGCCUAUGGAUAUGUUUCAGAUGCUCAAGAUCCUAACACGUGUUCUUACCAAGGUAACAGUGGUCCUGGAUAAUCAACAUCACCAACAAGAGAAUCAGUGUUAAUUGGUUCUUGCUGUUGGGAGUGAGGAUGGCUACUUGAGAGUCUUCAAGUGGCCUAUCAUGGCACUUAUUAUUGAUAAAGCUGAUGCUCACCCAACUCUGAAGGAUCUGGAUUUCAGUCUUGAUGGGAGGUUCCUUGUCUCCUUGGGAGGUGGUCCAUGUCGGAUUUGGGAUGUAGAAACAACAACAAUUGUAGCUUCUUUACUGAGGGAAAAUGUGAGAAGAGAUCCGUGAAUGGUAAUUGCAGCCAGAUUCUUCACGUUACAAUAAUGAGAGGUAAAAUGUCACCGGAUGCAAAAGUUGUUUUUUUUAUCUUCACUCUGAUUUACUUGGCUGAUUAUUGUUGGUGUAGAUCGUGGAGGCAGUAUCGUGUCCUUUGACACAUCCUCAUGGACGAGAGUGUCAUCGAAGCACGUAGUGCCCGACCCUAUUUCUGCGUUCAGUGUAUCUCCUGACGGAGAACUCCUUGCUAUGUAAAAGUUUCAUUUUUUUUUACUGGUUGUCUUUAUCCUAAGGUGUCUUUAGUCUCAUAACCCUCUUUUUCGACCCCAGAUAGAAUUGUUGGAUGAAAAUAUUAUUUGUUCCUUUUAACACAAGGAUCUUGUCUAUAGCUUUGUGUCAUGUGCCUGUGUGCGAGAACUGAUAGGUGCCGACUGUAUUGCCUUUAUUCAGAGAAACUCUACUUCUGAUAGUUCAUUCAGUUACCCUAGUUUCCUGUCCUUAUGUAUCUGGUGUUUCUUCUAAUAAUACUUCACUGAAAUAUUUGUCUUAUUAAACCCAUGUCGUAUCUUUUGCAAACUAGGAUUAAAGUGUCUUCUCUUCUAUCAGAAAAUCGAAAGAAACUUACAUGAAAGUGUUGCAUUUUUAUGUUUUGCGUAUAUAUCUUAUUACCCAUGAUGGCUCUACAAUAUAUGGUCAACUGGAGCUCACUUCAGGGAUUGAGUUCAUUUAUUUAUGUUUUAAAGAUAUAAUUCUAUUUUAUCACUUGACAUUUAAUCUAAUCAGGAAUCUGAUUGGCCUUUUCUCCUUUUCAAAUUGGUAAACAUGCAGCGGAACAAUCCAAGGAGGUGUAUGGCUAUACAAAUCCAACAAUACACGAGUGACAUCAAUAAUUAAGAAAUCGCGCCUUGGUCUAGUUACUGCAUUGAAAUUAUCUGAAGAUUCUAGAUUGCUGGUCUCUGCAUCCAUGGACUCCAGUGUUAGGGUGACCAAAGUUUAAGAAGACACGACACUUGAGGGUAUGCUUUUUCUUUUAUUCUGGUUCAUCUAGGAUACCAAACUAGGUGAUCACCUCAUUGAAGAUUAUAUGAACUGAUGGAUAUAUUGUUGGAUCAAAUAUGAUAUCUUGUGCCAGCUUGCAGGCUGCAUCAAUCGGCGUGAGAGUUAUUCGUUUUAUUUAUUUAUCUAAUAUUUGGUUAUUUGCUUACGUACUAAUUAUACUUGUGUGUGUUCAACAGGAUUGAUGAUUCUGGUUUUUGUACUUCAAGGAUUAUGGUUUAUAAUUAUGAUUGCCAUAAUUUUUCUUCUGGCAUAUUACCAUUGGAAUGACAAACCCCUUCCUUUCGCUUAUUAGAAAGUUAACCCCUUCCCUCUGAAGUUGGUUUAAUAUCCAAUAUAGUGAGAGAUACAAUCUUCAAAUAGGUUACAUACAGAAUGUAGAUAGUCUUCGCUGUAAAAUUAUUAGAUUCAAACAUAUUUGAACGACCUUCAGAUAAUAUUGUUUCAGUGUCGCGCAAUACUCAAAUUCUUGCAUCAGCUAACUUCUAAGCUUUGACAGGUACACCGUAGCUGAGGAGGCAACAAGCUGUCGUUACAUGUCCAUGGAUUGGAUGAUGAGGAAUAAGGAUUAAAAUUGAGGUUCAAAGGUCUUGUAGCUGAUGGCAGUAGAUUACUACCUUCGAGACAAGCAGGGAGGGAUGUAUUAUACUUGACAAAGAUGGGUUCGCAGCAAAGGAACAAACACAUCUCUCUGAUAUUUGUGAGGCGGUUCAGCAGCUCAUUGUAAACUAGGGUAUUCAGACUUGCACUUGUGUUUAGAAAUUGUCUUUAAGAAACAUGUGAACCUAUCAGCUAAGACUUGUACUGGUGCAAAUUCAGGAUUUUUUUUUAUUAGGUUUUUCUGAUUUUGAAGCUAAGUGCAGGUUUCAUUUCAUGGAAAUUUUUCAAUUUGAACCUGUAUGAAUUGUAAAAUGAAUAUUGGUUCCUAAAUAAAUUGCCAUUUGAAUAUAUGAA